rnacentral:rRNA from 1 species
AGGACGAACGCUGGCGGCGCGCUUAACACAUGCAAGUCGAGCGAUCGACUCCGGGCUUGCCCGGAGCACGGAGCGGCGAACGGGUGAGUAACACGUGGGUGAUCUACCUUCGAGUGGGGGAUAACGUUCCGAAAGGAACGCUAAUACCGCAUGACGUUCUGGGUUUGAAGACCUGGAAACCAAAGCUGGGGACCGCAAGGCCUGGCGCUUGAAGAGGAGCCCGCGUCCGAUUAGCUAGUUGGCGGGGUAACGGCCCACCAAGGCGACGAUCGGUAGCC